rnacentral:lncRNA from 1 species
CCUGAAGUAAGAAAGGAACCAAUUAUAGCUCUUCCCUAAAUAUAUUUCUACAUGAAUGCAAGAGGACCAAAAGAUAAAUGUUACACCUUCAGACCAUAAACUAUGACUUGCUACAAGCUAAUUCAAGAAGCUUUUCAAGCUUUUUACUAAGAGUGCAGUUCUGAAUUCAUUUCAUCCACAUAGUAGUAAAGAGCUAGGUGUCAGAAAUCUGAAGCUGAUCGACACAACAUGAAACAGCCAUAAUAGUCCACAGUAUCGACUUUGGAGAUUCUUACCUAUUGCAGUAAUCCUUAACCCAACCUCGGACCUUUCAGGUUUAAUCAGUACUACCUCCGUCCCAAAAUAAGUGCAGCCAUAAAUAUGCGUGCUCGGCGUUUUGACCAUCCGUCUUAUUUGAAAAUUUUAUAAAAAAUAUUUAAAAAAAUAGUCACACAUAAAGUACUAUUCAUGUUUUAUCAUCUAAUAACAAUAAAAAUACUAAUCAUAAUCUUUUUUCAAAUAAGACGAACGGUCAAUCGUUGGAUAUGAACAGUGCUAAAACUGCACUUAUUUUGGGCCAGAGGGAGUAUGAGUUAAAAAGAACAUAUAUCGCUUAAAGUGAAGCAUCACAGAUUCUCCACAGGACAGCAACACAGAACUAACAACAUCCAAUUUCAUACCCUUGCGCACAAACCAAAAAUAGCCCAACCAAAAGUAGCCCUAAUCGAGAGCCGCCCAAAAAAGAAAAAAAAAUCACAUCCCGUCACGAGAUGAGCUUUCCUACGGUUCCUCAACUAGAACCGGCUGACGGAUCGAACCACAUAAGCAACGAAACCGACGGAAUCAAAGUGGAGAUGGGUUUCUAGGGUUCCGAAAGCGGAGGGGAUCGAGGGUCGUGGACACUCAACGCAUGAGGUGAAACUUCAAGGUGCAUGGAGUUACCUG